rnacentral:rRNA from 1 species
UACGAGGGGGGCGAGCGUUGUUCGGAAUUACUGGGCGUAAAGGGCGCGUAGGCGGUGUGUCAAGUCAGGCGUGAAAGCCCCGGGCUCAACCUGGGAACUGCGACCGAGACUGCAUUGCUAGAGUAUGGGAGAGGAAAGCGGAAUUUCUGGUGUAGCAGUGAAAUGCGUAGAUAUCAGAAGGAACAUCAGUGGCGAAGGCGGCUUUCUGGACCAAUACUGACGCUCAGGUGCGAAAGCGUGGGGAGCAAACAGG